ACGCUCCGGUAUCGUGGCUCUUUACCUGUGAUUUACAUGUUAUAUUUAAGCAGCUCGCGAUGCCUGCCAGGCGCUGAGGAUGUGCGCUUCCAAUUUCUCAACACUGGAUUGUGCAGAGCAGAGGUGCUCGAGGCUUCAGAACGUUAAGCAAACAACUCGACUAUGUUUCAGAGUCAUAGAAUACAUUGACAAUAUCACAUGCGUCUGCUGUUCAAACAGUGCACAGCUGCACAAGCAUUCUAGGUACUUGCGCUUUUUCUUGUAAGGUGAGAGGUCGGCAAAUGGUAUGCAUUUGAAGACUCUUACCGAUCUGCCAGAUACUUUUGGAUAAAACUACGUAGUACUGUCGACCUCAACCAUGCUCAGAGGUCCCGGGUGCAAUGCCUGUGAGGAUGUCGAACUUGGCGAGUAUCCCACUGCAGAACACAUGUCAUCGACGUCUGUCCCUUUAAGCAAUUCAAUCUGAGCAGAGAGAUUCCUCGUAUUCCAACAUCUGGGUAGAAUUUGCA
rnacentral:lncRNA from 1 species